rnacentral:lncRNA from 1 species
AAAUAAAUACUACUAAUCUGUUUCGCCAUUUCUCUAAUGAUAGACACAACAAGAAACCCUCAAUUCUUUCAUUUGCUUUUAGGAUUUUAUGCUCUCGACACUUUUAAGGACUAAUCUUUAAUUCUCUUCAUCACCUCAACGGGCUCUUUCAAUUUCGGGUAAGCUUUUCUCUCAAUUUUUGCUUUAAUCUUCCUUCCAAUUCUUUUUAAAUUUCUUAAUUUCAUGGCUGAAAUUCAUAGUUGUUUUUCUACUGUGUUCUUGUUCAUAUGUUCGUCUCCUUCCUUUUGUUUCUCUCUUUCAUCCUUAAAAUGUUACUUUUGCAUAAUCUCUUUAUGUUUCUUCAUAUUUUCAAAGACUUAUUUUUUCAAUUCUUUAUAUCUUCUCAGCUGGGUUGUUCUAAUUCCAGGUAUUUUGCCCCAAUUUCUUUCAAUUUCUCUUUAGACUUCUGAAUUUCAUUCCUGGAAUUCGUGGCUAAUGUCUGUAAUAGUGAAAGCGGUAGAUCUUCGAAAGGUUUUCUAUGCGUAAAAUAUAGUUGGGAGACCGAGAUAAAUUACGAUAGAUUAUAGUAGUAAUUUCAUUUGCUUUUGACUUCUUUUUGAAUUUCGAAAAUGUCCCUUCAAAUUUUGUUAUAUCAAUCUUAUGGUUCACUUUUUCGUUUUCAAUUAUUAAAAAGGUAACUUUCUAUUUUCAUCUACCGUCAAUUCUUCCAUUUACUCUUCUCUGUUACUAUCUUUCGUAGAAGCUUUAUUAUAGUUAUCGAUUGAUUGAAAAUUUUAUAAUUAUAAAUGAUCAUAUUUUUAAAAUAUUCUGCUUCUUAUUGUCACAUUAGUUCUUUUUGAGUGAGUGCAUUUUAAUUGGUGUUACUUCAACUUCGGUAUUUUUUUACCAAAGAGUGAUCAUCUAGGUUGAGAGAGGAGUCAAUAUUGCUUAAUCUCUUUUUUUUUUACACAAUAAGAAAGAAUUUGGGUUCACAAUACAUCUUCAUGCUCAACAUGAUGCACCAACCUCAGGAAGUUUUACUUCUAAUCUUAUAGAGUUCCUGAUGAUGCUUACUCUAAGUCUUAGUUGAGAAGUCAGAUGGAACUUACUCUAAACCUCGGUUGAGAACUCUGAUUGCAUGCAUUCAUAGUCAAAUGAUAAUGAAGUAUUUGCAGUUACAUGUAAGUUUGAAUUUUACCUCUAUGCGAUUGAUGUUUUCUAUAAGAAAUACAACUGAGGAAGUUUUCAUUGAAAACUUUUUGCAUUACUUAAUUAGUUUAACUUUUCAGCAGACAAUUUGACAGAGAUUGCAAAUUUCUGAGGGCUGGGUGAAUCAUGAAUUAUAGUUUUUGGGUUGAUGAUAUCUUCUAAUAUGAUAAAUUUAUGAUAUAGGUGGCAAAGUUUUUCACCUUUCUUCUUGCCCUGUAUGCUAUAAAUUUGUGGCAUAUUAUUGUAAAUUGGUAUUAUUAUUAAUUUUAGCCAAGAGCACUAAAUUGAAUCUCUUCUUGCUUUUCAGGAAAAAAUAUACAUAUAGAGUGAGAAUUUCACACAUACCUAUCGUUUCCUUGAAGUUGAUUUACAAGGCAUGUAUCGAGUUUUUACAACCAGUAUGAAUGGCUCAUUUACUUUUUAUUAUUUUGAGCUAUUGGGAAGUUAUUUUUACGCAAAUAAUUAUAGAAAAAAAAUCUAUCUGAUAAUCCUUUGUAACUUUCACCUAUUAUUUUUCAAGUGCUAACAAUUCUUUUAAAAUUAAAUAGACUGUAGAAAAGCAGUGCAAUAUGUCUUCUUAUUAGUGAUGCACACCUUUAAAGAAAAUAAUACUUCUUAUUUCCUUUUUAAUAUUUGUGUCUGUAUACCAUUUAGAACUAUAUCGUGUAUCGCUAUUAUGAGACAAAUAGUCUUGUGACUAUUAAUGAUUCUCCAUGUAAUUGAGGUUAGUUAUUGUAACUACUAAGAGUUGGCUUUGUUUGUUGUUAAAAUAUUUUUGGGUAGUUUAGAAGACAGCAUUUGUGAAAAGGCUCAAGUGAAGCAAUGUCUUAUUGUCGAGUCACUCAGAAGAAGCUUACCGGAUUAUUGCGCUUCAAAUACUUUAUGAAGUCAAGGCAGUAAACCAUCUUGAUAUGUUCCUUUAUUUCAUGUUCUUUUGGUUCAUAUCUCUCAGCUUUAGUUGAAUUCUAGAACGUUGUCAAAACUGUUGAAACUACCAACAUUGAUUCAUUUAAGUUUGGUCCCUAAUUUGUCAUUUUGGUCUGAUAUUCAUGUCUCAGCACAUGUUGCUUUGUACUGAGAUAUUUUUCAGGAUCACAAGCAUCAAACCUUAAGGUACUGAUAGAUUCUACACCUCAAGGGAGAUAAAUAUUUUUGGUUAAUUUAAGAGUUACACGCAGUUGGUGAUUUGUCAAAUCAAAAGAAAAAUUCUUAAUCUUCAUAUUAAUACAUCACAAU